rnacentral:rRNA from 1 species
UGCCAGCCGCCGCGGUAAUACGGAGGGUGCAAGCGUUGCUCGGAAUCACUGGGCGUAAAGGGUCCGCAGGCGGCUCGAUCAGUCGGAUGUGAAAGCCCAGGGCUCAACUCUGGAACUGCAUUCGAUACUGUCGAGCUUGAGUACGGGAGAGGGAAGCGGAAUUCCUGGUGUAGAGGUGAAAUUCGUAGAUAUCAGGAGGAACACCAGUGGCGAAAGCGGCUUCCUGGCCCGAUACUGACGCUCAUUGACGAAAGCGUGGGGAGCAAACAGGAUUAGAUA